rnacentral:lncRNA from 1 species
UUUUUAAGCAAGAGUAACUUAUUGUUUCUAGUAUUUGAAGCAUAAAAAGUCUCAAGCUUUCACCAAAAACUUUGGUAUUUCUUUCAUUAGCAAUAUGAUUCAACACAUUAUCUUCUACCCAUUGUCGAAUAAAACCACAUACUUGUAAAUUCUCAAAUUCCUAAUCUUCAUCGGAUUUAGAUUCAAGUUUUUGAAAAGCAAACAUAGGUAAAUACAACUUUUUCAUAACAAGAAGAUCCUUCAUUUUUCCUUU